AGUGAACGCUGGCGGUAGGCCUAACACAUGCAAGUCGAACGGCAGCACAGUAAGAGCUUGCUCUUACGGGUGGCGAGUGGCGGACGGGUGAGGAAUACAUCGGAAUCUACUUUUUCGUGGGGGAUAUCGUAGGGAAACUUACGCUAAUACCGCAUACGACCUACGGGUGAAAGCAGGGGAUCUUCGGACCUUGCGCGAUUGAAUGAGCCGAUGUCGGAUUAGCUAGUUGGCGGGGUAAAGGCCCACCAAGGCGACGAUCCGUAGCUGGUCUGAGAGGAUGAUCAGCCACACUGGAACUGAGACACGGUCCAGACUCCUACGGGAGGCAGCAGUGGGGAAUAUUGGACAAUGGGCGCAGGCCUGAUGCAGCAAUACCGCGUGGGUGAAGAAGGCCUUCGGGUUGUAAAGCCCUUUUGUUGGGAAAGAAAAGCAGCAGGUUAAUACCCCGCUGUUCUGACGGUACCCAAAGAAUAAGCACCGGCUAACUUCGUG
rnacentral:rRNA from 1 species